UACGUAGGGGGCAAGCGUUAUCCGGAUUUACUGGGUGUAAAGGGAGCGUAGACGGCCAUUCAAGCCAGAUGUGAAAACCCGGGGCUCAACCCCGGGACUGCAUUUGGAACUGUAUGGCUGGAGUGUUGGAGAGGCAGGCGGAAUUCCUAGUGUAGCGGUGAAAUGCGUAGAUAUUAGGAGGAACACCAGUGGCGAAGGCGGCCUGCUGGACGAUGACUGACGUUGAGGCUCGAAAGCGUGGGGAGCAAACAGG
rnacentral:rRNA from 1 species